rnacentral:rRNA from 1 species
AGUGAACGCUGGCGGCGUGCUUAACACAUGCAAGUCGAACGAGAACGGAUUAUAGCUUGCUAUAAUUGUCAGCUAAGUGGCGCACGGGUGAGUAAUGUAUAGGUAAUAUGCCUCUUACUAAGGGAUAACAAAUGGAAACGUUUGCUAAUACCUUAUACUCCUUAUUAACAGAAGUUAAUAAGGGAAAGAUUUAUUGGUAAGAGAUUAGCCUGUAUUGUAUCAGUUAGUUGGUGGGGUAAUGGCUUACCAAGACUAUGACACAUAACUGGUUUGAGAGGAUGAGCAGUCACACUGGAACUGAGACACGGUCCAGACUCCUACGGGCGGCAGCAGUGGGGAAUAUUGCACAAUGGACGAAAGUCUGAUGCAGCGACGCCGCGUGGAGGAUGACACAUUUCGGUGCGUAAACUCCUUUUAUAUGAGAAGAUAAUGACGGUAUCAUAUGAAUAAGCACCGGCUAACUCCGUGCCAGCCGCCGCAGUAA